UACGUAGGGGGCAAGCGUUGUCCGGAAUUAUUGGGCGUAAAGAGCGCGUAGGCGGUCCGAUAAGUCGGCUGUGAAAGUCAGGGGCUCAACCCUUGAAAGCCGGCCGAUACUGUCGGACUAGAGUCCGGAAGAGGCGAGUGGAAUUCCCGGUGUAGCAGUGAAAUGCGCAGAUAUCGGGAGGAACACCAAUGGCGAAGGCAGCUCGCUGGGACGGUACUGACGCUGAGGCGCGAAAGCGUGGGGAGCAAACGGG
rnacentral:rRNA from 1 species